AGGUCUUAAAGGUUGGUGGCC
rnacentral:miRNA from 1 species